GGAGUGAUAGCUCAGCGGCAGAGCAUUCGAUUGCAGAUCGAAUGGCCCCGGGUUCAAUUCCCGGUCGCUCCU
rfam:Zancudomyces culisetae strain COL-18-3 scaffold-56, whole genome shotgun sequence.